UGAGUCGGCCAGACGGUCGCGUCAGGACCUCGGUCCUGCCGAGGAAAGUCCGGGCUCCUCAGGGCACGGUGGUGGCUAACAGCCACCCGGAGCGAUCCGCGGGACAGUGCCACAGAGAGUAGACAGCCUCCGAGCCUCGGCUCGGCGGUGAUGGUGAAAGGGUGGUGUAAGAGACCACCAGCAGCCCUGGUGACAGGGCUGGCUCGGUAAACCCCACUGGGAGCAAGCCCGAGCAGCGUGUGUCUGACGGCGGCCCGCCGGAGCACGCGGGUAGGGCGCUGGAGGUGGCCAGCAAUGGUCACCCGAGAUGGAUGACCGUCCACGACAGAACCCGGCUUACCGGCCGACUCAUCCG
rnacentral:RNase_P_RNA from 1 species